rnacentral:tRNA from 2 species
AAACUUAGGAUAAUAUUAAACCAAGG